AAAUGUUCCUGGCUUUGGUUACGGCCAACCACCAUCAGCUCAGCCGUACCCCUCUGCCCCAUACGGUGCUCCAGGAGCACCGUCUUCAGCUUCAUCAUACGGCAUUCCACCACCGCAUUCAUCAUCACCCUACGGUGUACCACAACCACCUUCAGCUUCACCCUACGGUGUACCACAACCACCUUCAGCUUCACCCUACGGUGUACCACAACCACCUUCAGCUUCACCCUACGGUGUACCACAACCACCUUCAGCUUCACCCUACGGUGUCCCACACGCUCCUGUUCCGUCUCCAUAUGGUGCUGGAGCAUCUCCAUAUGGUUACCCUACACCGGCUAGUAGUAGUCCUUUCGCGUCGCUCGUGCCAUCUGCAUUUCCAGCGGGCACGGAUCCCAAUG
rnacentral:lncRNA from 1 species